GAUGAACGCUGGCGGCGUGCCUAACACAUGCAAGUCGAACGGAGUCCAGCCUUUAAGACCUUCGGGUCAAAGAGGGGAAGACUGAGUGGCGGACGGGUGAGUAACACGUGGGCAACCUGGCUCAUAGAGGGGGAUAACAGAGAGAAAUUUCUGCUAAUACCGCAUAAGCACACACUGCCGCAUGGCAGAGGGUGAAAAGAGAAUCGCUAUGAGAUGGACCCGCGUCUGAUUAGCCAGUUGGCAGGGUAAGAGCCUACCAAAGCGACGAUCAGUAGCCGAUCUGAGAGGAUGAACGGCCACAUUGGGACUGAGACACGGCCCAAACUCCUACGGGAGGCAGCAGUGGGGGAUAUUGCGCAAUGGGGGGAACCCUGAUGCAGCGACGCCGCGUGAGUGAAGAAGUAUUUCGGUAUGUAAAGCUCUAUCAGCAGGGAAGAUAAUGACAGUACCUGAAUAAGAAGCCCCGGCUAACUACGU
rnacentral:rRNA from 1 species